rnacentral:misc_RNA from 1 species
AGCAACUGGAAUAUUACUUUGAUCUGCACAGGAAAUAACAAUUUCAUCACAGGACUCAAACACUAAUCAAAGAAAUCAGCAAUACAAAAGAACAUUCAGGCAUACACCCGUAGUUUAAAUGGUAAUGGAUAAUUUUAACUGAAAUUCUAGACAUAUAAUAGCUAUGCAAUCAAAACAAGUUGAAGCAUAAUUAUAAUAGCAUAUGAACCACACUACAUAUCAUAAAUGUUCAUUAGAGAGAGAGAGAGUGCAGGUGUGUGUGCAUGCAUGUGAACACGUGUGACAGGAGAGUUCAAAAGAUGAAAAUGAGGCAGACUUAAAUGCCUGCUCCCAUUUCCAGGAAUACGCAAAGAAUAUGGAUUACAUAAAGAAUUCAACAAUACAUGCAAAUUCAUUAUAACAUGUUAGACAAAUUUAUUGGUUAGUCGAGUACCAAAUCCUAAUCUAACUGGAUCGUGAUCGCAAUGAAUGUGAAUACCAAAACAUGGAAAAAUAUAAGUUGGAAACAUGAGAGUCUAGAGUUCAUUCAUCUUUUGACACUAACACUAUUUUGCCAACUAUAGAAAACCAUAAGUACGUUAAAAACACUAAACUUUCCUUUCAGACAAUAGAUCACAGUCAAAGUAUAAGAGAAUUUCUGGCUCAAUCCACCCUCCAAUGUUAUUUGUAGAAAGGGCACUGAACUCAUUGACCACCACCUUCAACAUUUUUCUUUGCCAAAAUAAUUUUGGCCCUUAUUUUUAGAAUUCUAUAAACACCUUCUCUACUUCUUUUCUCCAAAAAGCAAGAGGUUUGGAAGUCCCCUAUACACCUCUCUCACCAUACUAGUUUUUGCCAAUCACUUUACUUCAUAACCCUUGGAUGAUUAUUAUAGUUAACUCAGAAAUAUUCUCAUGUAAAAUAACUCCCUU